ACAGAACAUGAAGUCGGAAUGCC
rnacentral:siRNA from 1 species